AGUGAACGCUGGCGGUAGGCCUAACACAUGCAAGUCGAACGGCAGCACAGUAAGAGCUUGCUCUUACGGGUGGCGAGUGGCGGACGGGUGAGGAGUACAUCGGAAUCUACUUUUUCGUGGGGGAUAACGUAGGGAAACUUACGCUAAUACCGCAUACGACCUACGGGUGAAAGCGGGGGAUCUUCGGACCUUGCGCGAUUGAAUGAGCCGAUGUCGGAUUAGCUAGUUGGCGGGGUAAAGGCCCACCAAGGCGACGAUCCGUAGCUGGUCUGAGAGGAUGAUCAGCCACACUGGAACUGAGACACGGUCCAGACUCCUACGGGAGGCAGCAGUGGGGAAUAUUGGACAAUGGGCGCAAGCCUGAUCCAGCCAUACCGCGUGGGUGAAGAAGGCCUUCGGGUUGUAAAGCCCUUUUGUUGGGAAAGAAAAGCAGCAGGUUAAUACCCCGCUGUUCUGACGGUACCCAAAGAAUAAGCACCGGCUAACUUCGUG
rnacentral:rRNA from 1 species